rnacentral:tRNA from 1 species
UCCCUGGUGGUCUAGUAGCUAAGACAGCACUUCCAAUGCAGGGGACCCAGGUUCAAUCCCUGGUCAAGGAA